rnacentral:tRNA from 1 species
AGAAACUUAGGCUAACGAAGACCUAGAACCUUCAAAGUUCUCAGCAGGGGUUGAAAUCCCCUAGUUUCUG